AGAACAGCAGUAGCCGCGGGAAUACGUAGGUGGCAAGCGUUGUCCGGAAUUAUUGGGCGUAAAGGGCUCGCAGGCGGUUUCUUAAGUCUGAUGUGAAAGCCCCCGGCUCAACCGGGGAGGGUCAUUGGAAACUGGGAAACUUGAGUGCAGAAGAGGAGAGUGGAAUUCCACGUGUAGCGGUGAAAUGCGUAGAGAUGUGGAGGAACACCAGUGGCGAAGGCGACUCUCUGGUCUGUAACUGACGCUGAGGAGCGAAAGCGUGGGGAGCGAACAGGAUUAGAUACCCCCGUAGUCCCUGUCUCUUAUAC
rnacentral:rRNA from 1 species